rnacentral:rRNA from 1 species
UAACGAAUCUUCCGCAAUGCGCGAAAGCGUGACGGAGCAAUGCCGCGUGCAGGAUGAAGCCUCUCGGGGUGUAAACUGCUGUCAGGUGCCAGUAAGAAAGUGAACAACACCAAAGGAAGGACCGGCUAACUUCGUGCCAGCAGCCGCGGUAAUACGAAGGGUCCGAGCGUUAAGCGGAAUCACUGGGCUUAAAGCGUACGUAGGCGGAAACAUAAGCAUCUUGUGAAAUCCCACCGCUCAACGGUGGAACUGCGGGGUGAACUGUGUUUCUUGAGGUCGGUAGGGGCUGUCGGAACGAUAGGUGGAGCGGUGAAAUGCGUAGAUAUCUAUCGGAACGCCAAAGGUGAAGACAGGCAGCUGGGCCGAUUCUGACGCUGAGGUACGAAAGCAUGGGUAGCGAACGGGAUUAGAUACCCCCGUAGUCC